rnacentral:lncRNA from 1 species
UCAUUUCUAACAGUCUACACCACUUCAUCUUAGAGCCUAUACCAUUUUUGUUGGUCAUCUUUCUUGUUCUUUGGACCUGGUAUUGUAUUGGUGAGAUGCCAAUUUAGUCACAAACCAACCACCUUACUAUAUUUGACUUUGAAAAUAACAAAUGUGUCAAGGCUUGACUUUUUCAAAAUUUUCUUAAGAAUAUCACCGAACCCAAUAUGGGUUGC